CAACCCUCGUGCCCCGGCCCUCACCGGCCGGCGGCGCGGUGUUGGGGAUCGGCCCGCCCUUCAGUGGGCGCGCCGCCCCCGAAAUAGAGUGGCGACCUCGCUGUAGCCUCCUCUGCGUAGUAGUAAAAACACCUCGCAGGCGGAGAGCGGUGCGGUCCGCCGUAAAACCCCCAACUCUUUUACU
rnacentral:misc_RNA from 1 species